rnacentral:rRNA from 1 species
CAGGGAAUAUUGCGCAAUGGGCGAAAGCCUGACGCAGCAACGCCGCGUGGGGGAGGAAGGCCUUCGGGUCGUAAACCCCUUUUGCGAGGGAAGAAGUUCUGACGGUACCUCGAGAAUAAGUCACGGCUAACUACGUGCCAGCAGCCGCGGUAAUACGUAGGUGACAAACGUUGUCCGGAUUUAUUGGGCGUAAAGAGCCCGCAGGCGGCUUGACAAGUUUCGGGUGAAAUCUCCCGGCUCAACUGGGAGGGGUCUUGGAAAACUGUCAGGCUUGAGGCAGGAAGGGGGAUGCGGAAUUCCGUGUGUAGCGGUGAAAUGCGUAUAUAUACGGAGGAACACCAGCGGCGAACGCGGCCUCCUGGUCCUGACCUGACGCUCACGGGCGAAAGCGUGGAGAGCAAACCGGAUUAGAUACCCGGGUAGUCCACGCUGUAACUAUGAGUACUAGGAGUUGGGGGUAUCGACCCCCUCAGUUCCGAACUAACGCGAUAAGUACUCCGCCUGGAGACUACGGCCGCAAGGCUA